UAUAGAAUAGAAUACGAUGUGCCAUUUGGAGCAUUUAACAGUGUUAGUUAAUACUUAAUGUGGAGAUGAUAGUAGCCAUUGAACGGUCAUUAAGAAGUCUUUAAGCUAUCAUCUCGAUUUUUUAUUCUUCCAUUUGCUUGUUUACACACAAUUGUUUAUCAUAGCUACUCUUCAAACCCUCUCGUAAAAUGAUGGACUUUAAUUAAUAUUUAAAUGAAAAUUUGAAAGGAUGUAAGAAUUAUCGAAUGAAUGAGAAUCAUUGUCUUUCAAAAAACAGACGAAAGGCUUUUUUUGAUAGGUUAAAAAAAUAUCCAAUACUUAAAGAUGGUAAUUAUACUAAGAGUAGAACCAUUUUCCGAAAGCAUAAUACAUAAAAUUAAUUGAGCAU